GUACUGCCGAAGAGUCCCACAAACUAGGACGAAACAACUGUCCAGUAC
rnacentral:hammerhead_ribozyme from 1 species